UACGGAGGUGGCAAGCGUUGUUCGGAAUUACUGGGCGUAAAGGGCGCGCAGGCGGCCUCGCGCGCCCGACGUGAAAGCCCCCGGCUUAACCGGGGAGGGUCGUUGGGGACGGCGGGGCUUGAGGGCGGGAGAGGUCGGUGGAAUUCCCGGUGUAGUGGUGAAAUGCGUAGAGAUCGGGAGGAACACCUGUGGCGAAGGCGGCCGACUGGGCCGACCCUGACGCUGAGGCGCGAAGGCGUGGGGAGCGAACGGG
rnacentral:rRNA from 1 species